rnacentral:rRNA from 1 species
AGGAUGAACGCUGGCGGCGUGCCUAACACAUGCAAGUCGAACGUCCUGUCUCGCAAGAGGCAGGGAGUGGCGGACGGGUGAGUACCACGUGGGUCAUCUACCGUGAGGUGAGGAAUACCGGCGAGAAAUCGCCGACAAGACCGCAUAGGCUCGAUGCAAGUCGAGCAAAGCUCUUUCGAGAGAGGGAGCGCCACACGAGGAGCCUGCGCCCGAUUAGCUAGCUGGUGGAGUAACGGUUCACCAGGGCGACGAUCGGUAGCUGGUCUGAGAGGACGAUCAGCCACACUGGGAUUGAGAACGGCCCAGACUCCUACGGGGGGCAGCAGUGAGGAAUUUCGUCAAUGGGGGCAACCCUGAACGAGCAACGCCGCGUGCAGGAGAAGGUUUUCGGAUCGUAAACUGCUUUUCUCGGGGAAGAGAAUGGACGGUACCCGAGGAAUUAGCCCCGGCUAACUACGUGCCAGCAGCCGC